UGCAAGUCGAACGCGUUGGYCCAAUUGAUUGAUGGUGCUUGCACCUGAUUGAUUUUGGUCGCCAACGAGUGGCGGACGGGUGAGUAACACGUAGGUAACCUGCCCAGAAGCGGGGGACAACAUUUGGAAACAGAUGCUAAUACCGCAUAAYARCGUUGUUCGCAUGAACAACGCUUAAAAGAUGGCUUCUCGCUAUCACUUCUGGAUGGACCUGCGGUGCAUUAGCUUGUUGGUGGGGUAACGGCCUACCAAGGCGAUGAUGCAUAGCCGAGUUGAGAGACUGAUCGGCCACAAUGGGACUGAGACACGGCCCAUACUCCUACGGGAGGCAGCAGUAGGGAAUCUUCCACAAUGGGCGCAAGCCUGAUGGAGCAACACCGCGUGAGUGAAGAAGGGUUUCGGCUCGUAAAGCUCUGUUGUUAAAGAAGAACACGUAUGAGAGUAACUGUUCAUACGUUGACGGUAUUUAACCAGAAAGUCACGGCUAACUACGUGCCAGCAGCCGCGGUAAUACGUAGGUGGCAAGCGUUAUCCGGAUUUAUUGGGCGUAAAGAGAGUGCAGGCGGUUUUCUAAGUCUGAUGUGAAAGCCUUCGGCUUAACCGGAGAAGUGCAUCGGAAACUGGAUAACUUGAGUGCAGAAGAGGGUAGUGGAACUCCAUGUGUAGCGGUGGAAUGCGUAGAUAUAUGGAAGAACACCAGUGGCGAAGGCGGCUACCUGGUCUGCAACUGACGCUGAGACUCGAAAGCAUGGGUAGCGAACAGGAUUAGAUACCCUGGUAGUCCAUGCCGUAAACGAUGAGUGCUAGGUGUUGGAGGGUUUCCGCCCUUCAGUGCCGGAGCUAACGCAUUAAGCACUCCGCCUGGGGAGUACGACCGCAAGGUUGAAACUCAAAGGAAUUGACGGGGGCCCGCACAAGCGGUGGAGCAUGUGGUUUAAUUCGAAGCUACGCGAAGAACCUUACCAGGUCUUGACAUCUUGCGCCAACCCUAGAGAUAGGGCGUUUCCUUCGGGAACGCAAUGACAGGUGGUGCAUGGUCGUCGUCAGCUCGUGUCGUGAGAUGUUGGGUUAAGUCCCGCAACGAGCGCAACCCUUGUUACUAGUUGCCAGCAUUAAGUUGGGCACUCUAGUGAGACUGCCGGUGACAAACCGGAGGAAGGUGGGGACGACGUCAGAUCAUCAUGCCCCUUAUGACCUGGGCUACACACGUGCUACAAUGGACGGUACAACGAGUCGCGAACUCGCGAGGGCAAGCAAAUCUCUUAAAACCGUUCUCAGUUCGGACUGCAGGCUGCAACUCGCCUGCACGAAGUCGGAAUCGCUAGUAAUCGCGGAUCAGCAUGCCGCGGUGAAUACGUUCCCGGGCCUUGUACACACCGCCCGUCACACCAUGAGAGUUUGUAACACCCAAAGUCGGUGGGGUAACCUUUUAGGAGCCAGCCGC
rnacentral:rRNA from 1 species